UACUGCCAGUCAAGAGUAUAUCAAGGUACACCCGAGAUCCCAAAAAAAUAACUUCCAAGUUGCAGAUUCACUAUACUGUUUUGAUUUGCUCUAGCAGAUUGCUACAAUCAUGUUACUAGAUCCCUUUGAAGAAGACGAUCAAUGCUACCAUCCACUGAAGAGAGUGGUGGCUGGGUCAGCCAUAUACGGGUGCCGUUGUUUUGGAGCUUGAGAGGCCAGAUCAAAGUCUACAUAAUUCAGUGGUUCUCAGUACAAUACAUGAGUGUGCAGGUUAGUUGGUUAGCGAAGUGAAGGAUUCAGGACGACCAUUGAUGUGUGCUCCAUCUUUGUGAACUAUUCUUUUGUCUCA